GACCUGAGAGUUUGAUCCUGGCUCAGGAUGAACGCUGGCGGCGUGCUUAGCACAUGCAAGUCGAACGAAGCACUUUGAUCGAUUUCUUCGGAUUGAAAUUUUAGUGACUGAGUGGCGGACGGGUGAGUAACGCGUGAGGAACCUGCCUCAAAGAGGGGGACAACAGUUGGAAACGACUGCUAAUACCGCAUAAGCCCACGACCCGGCAUCGGGUAGAGGGAAAAGGAGCAAUCCGCUUUGAGAUGGCCUCGCGUCCGAUUAGCUAGUUGGUGAGGUAAUGGCCCACCAAGGCGACGAUCGGUAGCCGGACUGAGAGGUUGAACGGCCACAUUGGGACUGAGACACGGCCCAGACUCCUACGGGAGGCAGCAGUGGGGAAUAUUGCACAAUGGGGGAAACCAUGAUGCAGCGACGCCGCGUGGAGGAAGAAGGUCUUCGGAUUGUAAACUCCUGUUGUGAGGAAGAUAAAGACGUACUCAACAAGGAAGGACGG
rnacentral:rRNA from 1 species